CGGACUCAGCGGAUGAAAUGCGUAAUUGGAGUUGCCCUGACUCCUUGAGAUCCGGACCAAUGGAAGGUCGCAUCCAACGUCUGAUGACGCCCCGACAACAAAGUCGUCGCCUGGUCUCCUCCGCCGCUCCCGCCACUCUCCUGCUCCUACUCCUCGCCGGCGCCGCCGACGCCGUGCCACCGCUAGUCGGAGUUUCUCCCCAGGACGAGGCGUACUUCGCGCCGCAGGUGAUUGCCUGCAGGGACGGCUCGGGCUCCUUCCCCAGGAGCCGGCUCAACGAUGGAUACUGCGAUUGCACCGAUGGAACCGACGAGCCAGGCACUUCGGCUUGCCCAGAAGGCAAAUUUUAUUGUACAAACAUUGGAGAUCUUCCUCGUAUCUUGUUCUCUUCGUUUGUGAAUGAUAACAUUUGCGAUUGCUGUGAUGGAAGUGAUGAGUAUGAAAGUGGCAUCCAUUGUCCGAACACAUGUAAAAAGAGACAUGAUGCUGCCGAGACAGACAAUGGUGUUAGUGAGCUGUCAGUCGCACAUUUAGGUGGAACAGACAUAAUUUCUAGUAAACAUACACUUGACAUAGAAGAUCUUAUCCAGAAGCUAAGAGGAUUAAGAAUGGCUGCAGUUAUUGAACUGGGUCUUGUUGUAUGUAUUUUUGUUUUCUACUUUGCUCGACGGAGCACUCGGGCACGGAGGAGACAAUAUAUUUUGAAACGUUAGAAAAGUUUUAAGCUUCUAGGGCUGAUCGAGAAUUGGAGAUGGGAAGGUCAGGCAUCCACAAGCAGUUGCAGCCGACACAAGGAGCCAGUCAGCCAGUGGCGCUUUGGCCAGCCCCGUAGAUUGUCGUCUGGCGGAUUGCGACUGUUAUCCUAGGGCAGAGGGAAGGCUAUGAAGUUCCGUCCGUGCUUGUUAUGCGAACUGAAGUUUUGACUGCCGCUUCUCUUACCUUGAUCGCUGCCUGUUUUGUCUUUGGGGAUCGAUGCAUCAUUGUUUGUUCUCGUAGGUGCAUCAAUCUUUGAUCACAUGAUGCUUGCCUUGAUGUAAUGUCUACGGUGGUGUAAGAAACUCUGGCUGAUGGUAAUGCGUAACCUGUUUAUUAUAUCA